rnacentral:lncRNA from 1 species
UCACUUCAAGAAAACGUGAGACAUGAUAUUCAAGGGCAUUUUUCUCGAAAAGAACGUGCAAGGACAAACUAGAAUAAGAAACUCCACCUCCGUCAUCAUAACUCCAUGUUGAAUCCUCUUCUAGAGCCACCUAUGGUCCUUAUCUUAACCCUGGCAUACUAUUUUAUGCAUCAUCACCAAAUUUUCCUUUUGAUGUAGGUCAUCUCGGUGUGACCAAAAUAUAAAGAGUUCCUUAAUAUGUAACCAUGUUUACUAGGAGUCAAUGAUUCAGAAAAUACUGAUGGACUAAUUGACAAUUGUACCAUUUUCUACAGUUUUUUUUUACCUAUGAGCUAUGCUAGAAACAUUGUAUGGUGGCUGCAAUAAAUCCACUACAACCAGGAUACAAGGAAGUUUAGACGCAUCGAUAGGUAUAAGUUUUAAAGUCGUGAAGUUCAAUGGAUUUAGAACUUCAAAAUUAGAACGUAAAUGUGUGACUUAUUUGCCAUCUAUGUUACCUUUUUUCGCAAAAUUUUAGGGAUAAAGCAACUGAUGAGGAAAUCAAUUGCAACUAGGUAAUUCAUGUAUCUAAUAUAGAUCUUUUAUAAA